GAUGAACGCUAGCGAUAGGCUUAACACAUGCAAGUCGAGGGGCAGCACAAGGUAGCUUGCUAUCUGGGUGGCGACCGGCGCACGGGUGCGUAACGCGUAUGCAACUUGCCCUAUACAGGAGGAUAACCCGUCGAAAGACGGACUAAUACUGCGUAUGCUCACAACUUGGCAUCAAGUGGUGAGGAAAGAAAUUCGGUAUAGGAUAGGCAUGCGUCCCAUUAGCUUGUUGGUGAGGUAACGGCUCACCAAGGCAACGAUGGGUAGGGGAACUGAGAGGUUUAUCCCCCACACUGGUACUGAGACACGGACCAGACUCCUACGGGAGGCAGCAGUGAGGAAUAUUGGUCAAUGGGCGCGAGCCUGAACCAGCCAAGUCGCGUGAAGGAUGACUGUCCUAUGGAUUGUAAACUUCUUUUAUACGGGAAUAACAAGAGUCACGUGUGACUCCCUGCAUGUACCGUAUGAAUAAGCAUCGGCUAACUCCGUG
rnacentral:rRNA from 1 species